rnacentral:rRNA from 1 species
AUUGAACGCUGGCGGAAUGCUUUACACAUGCAAGUCGAACGAUGAACCUUAGCUUGCUAAGGGGAUUAGUGGCGAACGGGUGAGUAAUGUAUCGGAACGUAUCCAAUAAUGGGGGAUAACUAGUCGAAAGAUUAGCUAAUACCGCAUACGUCCUACGGGAGAAAGCUAGGGACCUUCGGGCCUGGCGUUAAUGGAGCGGCCGAUAUCUGAUUAGCUAGUUGGUGGGGUAAAGGCUCACCAAGGCGACGAUCAGUAGCUGGUCUGAGAGGACGACCAGCCACACUGGAACUGAGACACGGUCCAGACUCCUACGGGAGGCAGCAGUGGGGAAUUUUGGACAAUGGGCGAAAGCCUGAUCCAGCCAUUCCGCGUGAGUGAAGAAGGCCUUCGGGUUGUAAAGCUCUUUCGCAAGGGAAGAAAACUUAAGCUCUAACAUAGCUUGAGGUUGACGGUACCUUGAUAAGAAGCACCGGCUAACUACGUGCCAGCCGCCGCAGUAA